GACGAACGCUGGCGGCGUGCUUAACACAUGCAAGUCGAACGGAAAGGCCCUGCUUUUGUGGGGUGCUCGAGUGGCGAACGGGUGAGUAACACGUGAGUAACCUGCCCUUGACUUUGGGAUAACGUCAGGAAACUGGGGCUAAUACCGGAUAGGAGCUCCUGCUGCAUGGUGGGGGUUGGAAAGUUUCGGCGGUUGGGGAUGGACUGGCGGCUUAUCAGCUUGUUGGUGGGGUAGUGGCUUACCAAGGCUUUGACGGGUAGCCGGCCUGAGGGGGUGACCGGCCGCAUUGGGACUGAGGUACGGCCCCGACUCCGACGGGAGGCAACAGGGGGGAAUAUUGCACAAUGGGCGGAAGGCGGAUGAAGAAACCCCGCGGGCGGGAUGACGGCCUUCGGGUUGUAAACCGCUUUCGCCUGUGACGAAGCGUGAGUGACGGUAAUGGGUAAAGAAGCACCGGCUAACUACGUG
rnacentral:rRNA from 1 species